AUCCAUCUGAUGAGUCCCAAAUAGGACGAGACACGCGUCCUGGAU
rnacentral:hammerhead_ribozyme from 1 species